UGGGGAAUAUUGGACAAUGGGGGCAACCCUGAUCCAGCCAUGCCGCGUGAGUGAUGAAGGCCUUCGGGUUGUAAAGCUCUUUUGGCGGGGACGAUGAUGACGGUACCCGCAGAAUAAGCCCCGGCUAACUUCGUGCCAGCAGCCGCGGUAACACGGGGGGAGCAAGCGUUGUUCGGAAUCACUGGGCGUAAAGGGCGUGUAGGCGGUCAGGUAAGUGGGAUGUGAAAUGCCCCGGCUCACCCGGGGACCUGCAUCCCAAACUGCUUGGCUUGAGUAUGGGAGAGGAUGAGGGAAUUCCUGGUGUAGCGGUGAAAUGCGUAGAUAUCAGGAGGAACACCGGUGGCGAAGGCGCUCAUCUGGCCCAAUACUGACGCUGAGGCGCGAAAGCUAGGGGAGCAAA
rnacentral:rRNA from 1 species